rnacentral:tRNA from 1 species
UCCCUAAUGGUUCAUUGGCUAAGACUCUGCACUCUUAACACAGGGGGCCAGGUUCAAUCCCUGGUCAGGGAA